AUUUAUAUAGUAUAAGUAUUAUUAUUGAUUUCCAAUCAAAAGAUCUAAUUUAUAAAUUAGUAUAAAUA
rnacentral:tRNA from 1 species